GGUCUUGAUCUCCUGACCUUUUGAUCCGCCCGCCUCGGUCUCCCAAAGUGCUGGGAUUACAGGCGUGAACCACCAAGCCCGGCCGGUAACAAAGUCUUAAAAGCGGUCUUAUUCUGUAAUACGUUGGCCAGUUUUAAACCAUUUGCAGUAAUGCAUUUAAAAGAUGUUAUUUCAUAGAUAACAAAAUAGCUUCUUGAUUUUCAUGAUAAACAUAGACUUGGAGCCUUUUUCUUUUUCCCCGAUUGUGAGUCAGCUCUUGGAGGGCAUGGACAGUUUCUCACACCUCCUGGGAUUAGAGGUGGAGAAACAGAAUGGGCUGGGUGGGCAGAGACUGGGUGGUUGGAGCUCAGGGCCUGGGGCAGGGAGUUGUGGGGAGGGAGGGUGGGAAG
rnacentral:lncRNA from 10 species